UCAGGAUGAACGCUGGCGGCGUGCUUAACACAUGCAAGUCGAACGAUGAAGCCGGAGCUUGCUCUGGUGGAUUAGUGGCGAACGGGUGAGUAACACGUGAGUAACCUGCCCUUGACUCUGGAAUAAGCGUUGGAAACGACGUCUAAUACCGGAUACGAGCUUCCGCCGCAUGGUGAGGAGCUGGAAAGAAUUUCGGUCAAGGAUGGACUCGCGGCCUAUCAGGUAGUUGGUGAGGUAAUGGCUCACCAAGCCUACGACGGGUAGCCGGCCUGAGAGGGUGACCGGCCACACUGGAACUGAGACACGGUCCAGACUCCUACGGGAGGCAGCAGUGGGGAAUAUUGCACAAUGGGCGCAAGCCUGAUGCAGCAACGCCGCGUGAGGGACGACGGCCUUCGGGUUGUAAACCUCUUUUAGUAGGGAAGAAGCGAAAGUGACGGUACCUGCAGAAAAAGCACCGGCUAACUACGUGCCAGCAGCCGCGGUAAUACGUAGGGUGCAAGCGUUAUCCGGAAUUAUUGGGCGUAAAGAGCUCGUAGGCGGUUUGUCGCGUCUGCUGUGAAAACUGGGGGCUCAACCCCCAGCCUGCAGUGGGUACGGGCAGACUAGAGUGCGGUAGGGGAGAUUGGAAUUCCUGGUGUAGCGGUGGAAUGCGCAGAUAUCAGGAGGAACACCGAUGGCGAAGGCAGAUCUCUGGGCCGUAACUGACGCUGAGGAGCGAAAGCAUGGGGAGCGAACAGGAUUAGAUACCCUGGUAGUCCAUGCCGUAAACGUUGGGAACUAGAUGUAGGGGCCAUUCCACGGUUUCUGUGUCGCAGCUAACGCAUUAAG
rnacentral:rRNA from 1 species